UAAAAUCCAACAGCUGCACACAACCAGAACUUGGCCAUUGUUUCCUCUUCGAGUUAAUGUGUAAAAGGCAAGGAAUUCCUCUCCGAGCCUGCACAAAGGAGGGGCAGAAGAAGAAGAAGAAAAAAAGGUCCCAGGUCUUGUUAAGUCUGCACAGAAAGCCAGCGUCUGAAGUUUGCUGCAGUUUUUAUUCCAAUUCAAAGUAACUGAAGCAGUGACAUAAGAGGGAGGGGAGCAGAAUCGAAAGUCACACCCAUGUUGAAACAAAAGUGACUAGGCAAAAAGGGGAGGAGAGGAGGGUACUACUUAUGAGUAAGCAGUUACCAGCAGCAAUUAAUGUCUUUUACUCAUCGCAAUGAAGCCAGAAGUCUUCUUGGAGCACUUGUGCUGGAAAUUAUGUGUAACUCCUCAGGCUUAGCAGAAGGCAGAGAGUGAAAACGAAGAACUACAUUUAUCUGCAGGUCUGCCAAUAAUCUACACCUGAUCCAGUCACUUCUGCAACAGGCGUAUAAAAAGGACCCAAAGAUCAGCUUUUACAACCUACGUGUACCUAUAAUAAUUUUACCAUGGCCAAAAAGGAUGUAUUUAAAAUGAUCAUAUCAGGUUGUGAGUUAUCUGCAAAAGAUUUCAGAAAUUCACCAUCAUUUCCAGAAUAAAAAACGUCUGCCUCUUCAAGACAGGAAAAUGUGUUGAAUUGAAUUUUAAGAUAUGCACUGAAAAGGAAACAUGACAUGGAUUGAAAUUAUUGUUAUUAUCAUAAUUUAUCAAACUUUUUAGCAACUUCUUACACAAAAGGUCUCCAAGAAACUUACAACAUAUUUAAAACAUAAAAAUACAUCAUAAUAUAAACACAUUCCUCCCAAAACACAUGCUGUUCAUAAAAAAUACACAAAGCAACUACCACAGCAACAGCAGAAAGCAGCAUAAAACAACAGACAGGAAUAUUGUAGUUCAUCAAAAGCCUGGGGAAAAAUGUAUGUUUCUACAGGGGCUGAAAAGAUGUCAACAAAGGCGCCAGGCAGGCCUUACUAGGGAGGGGGUUUGGCAAAUGAGGAGUAACAACUGAAAAGGCUCUUCCCUUAUACUCUUUCCCAUGAUGAAUCUAGAGCAAACUGUUCAUGCGCAUGUGUGCACACAUAAACACCCUACAAAUACAAAAGUUGGUACUGCAGAAGAAUCAGUAUUGUAUUCAUUGUUCUGAAAAACAGUAAAGUACUCAGCCAACACCAAUAUUUCAAGAUGGUGGGUACAAAGAACAAAUACUGACCCUCUGUCUCAGUGCCUAGAAAAUAAAUGUAAGUGGUGACAAAAAUACUGAACCUCAGGUGACAUUACCUGACCCUUCAUGCAAUGGAAAGGAGGUGUUUCCCUUUCAUCCACCACGUAGAUGAAAUAAUACAGUAUAUAAGGUGAAGCCUCCAUGUGAAUACAGCAGGUCACACAAAGUCCUGUUCACAGUUUUUUUUCCUUUCCCUUUUUUGAGAGAUAGUAGACAAAGCCAUGCUUCUGUGCAAUUGGACCUUCACAUUGAGGAUGAAUCGUCACAUGUCAUUGGCAUGGUAGAGUACAGGAAGUGAACCAUGCAAAAUAGCAUAUGAACUGGGACUGAAUCUCUGUUACUGGUAUCUGCCUCAAACACCUUAUCUUUGUACACCAUUUUUGGUAGUGAUAUCCAGACUAUGGACUGGUCUCCAUAGGAGAAAAGCACUUUUUUUGCUGAGCUGAAUAUGAUUUAUUUUGAUGCUCCUCUUGUUGUUUGUAUGUGUUGCUUAUCUGUUAUUAGACAAGUCUGUUGUUUCGUGAAUGCUACUUUAUAUAUUUUUUCUUAUCUGUAAACCAUUUCAAUCAUUGCUGAUAGAUAAUGAAUUAUCCCAAAUGCUUCAAUAUUCAGCAAUAUUAUAAAUUUCUUAUGAAUUAUCAAAUACUUCACAACAGCAAAUGUACAUGAAAAGAUAAUUUAUGCUAUUUAUAUGCAGAGUUUGUCCCUUAACUCUGCAUCUGCAGCAGGGAUGUAGAAUGUCGAGAUGAAUGGUGCAGACGUUGGUUAAAGGUCAGGCUGAGUUAGCAGCAGUUCAGAAACAGAGCAGUCACCUAUGAGAAUAAAUCAAACCUAAAUUAAGGCCAAGAGCUGCAAU